rnacentral:rRNA from 1 species
UACGGGGGGUGCGAGCGUUGUCCGGAAUCACUGGGCGUAAAGGGCGCGUAGGUGGUUUGAUAAGGGUGUGGUGAAAGUCCGGGGCUCAACCCCGGAUCUGCCGUGCCGACUGUCAAACUCGAGGACUGUAGAGGCAGACGGAAUUCCGGGUGUAGCGGUGGAAUGCGUAGAGAUCCGGAAGAACACCGGUGGCGAAGGCGGUCUGCUGGGCCAAGACUGACGCUGAGGCGCGACAGCGUGGGGAGCAAACAGG